UUUUAGGUUUUUUUGGCUGAAAUAUAAUUAAAACUAUUGAAUUUAAUAAGAUUUAAUAUAUUUUUUUAUUAAUUCGACUAAAAUUAUUUAAAAUUUUAAAAUAAAAGUAAAGAAAAAUGUCAGUAAAAUAAAAUAAAAUUGAGGAAGGCAUCUCUUUGUGGAAAAAAAGUCUGGGAUGUGACGAUACUGCUAUAUAUAUCAUCGUGUCCCAACCAAUCAAAUUGUAUCUCGAAGAUUUCACACAUUUCAUCAUAAUUUUUUGUAAAAAAUUUAUGAUAUUUUUAGAAAAAAUGAGACCGUUUAUUAUCUACUUGUGGAAUACGUGGUCAACAGAUUUAUGAUGUUCAACAUACUAGAAAGCGGACACAUUCUAGAAUUUGUGGGGGUGGUAAAGAGUGUCUGAAAACUUCUGUAAGAGAACCGCUCCUUAGGAAAAUCAGCAAAAGAUUUGACAAGGAUCACAUUCCGUUAGUGAAUAAUUUGGAGGGAAAAAAAAAUAACAUGAUCUUCAGGAAUCAAUUUUCAGACCCCCUAAUGUCCUUUAGAAGAAUUCAUGAAGUGGAAAGAAAGAACACUGAAUUCUGUUUUUUUUUUCUUAAAAAAUUAUUAUAAUUUUCUCUCAAUAAAAUAGAGGGGAAAAAAAAAGAAAAAAAAAAAAGAAAAGAAAGAAAGAAUAGAACAUCAGAUGGUGCGUGCGAGGACAGUAAGCAUGUGCUUCGCUUCUUUAGAUCGGAGCUUCUCUAUUAAGAUUGUAGGGUAGGAGAGGAAAGGAAUAGAUGUUAUUUUUGACUUGAUUAUUUUAAUAAUUUUAAUGCUGAUAUAUUUAUCUUAAAAUGUUUUUUUUUUAACUUUGAAAAAAAAAUAAGGAUAUAUUUCAUUUGUAAUAUUAAAAAAAAAAAAAGAAGAAGAAAAGAGAGUAUCAGAAGAGAUCAAUAACUUACAAAAGAGAGCUCUAUAAAUCAAGUAUUCAAACACGAGAAAAGGUUACUCGUACUCUUAAUAGUCCAAAGUGACACAACGAAUAUGGCGCAUGCAACAAGCGUUAAAAGUUGGCAUUUAGUUCAUUUGACAAAUCUCGGCCAAGCCAAUAAUAAAAAUGCCAGAUAUUUUGCCAAUAUGAAGCAGCUCCAACAAACAAAUCUCAACAUUCAGUGGCCUUAUUUUCAUUUUGAGAAGUUUUGAUAAUUUUCGCAGGCAAUUUGGAACUGCCCAUUUUUCAGAAAUUGUAGUUAUUUGUUUAAAAAGAGCAACGCUGUAUGUACACCGACUUUUCAAUGUAUAUUGAAACAGCAAUUUGUUUUCCAACCAUUGUCACAUUCAAGCCAAACAAAUCAUAUCCUCCCAAUUAUUUGUUUUUCGUCCAAGAGAAAGUUUAAAUCUUUCUCGGCAAAACCUUCUCUGCAUUGACUGAGCAAAACGAGAAAACUAAAAAUGAUGCCACUGUUUGUGUUCUAUAUUCAUUGCAUUAAGCCAUUACACACAAUCAUGAAGCAAACCUUUGAGGAAUCAGCAUAAACCAAUAGUGCAGAGAUCUAAAUGUUUUUUAGCUAGCAAACAGCUGAUCCACUUACUCUAUUUGUGUGCUUUAUGUAGCUGUAUCACUUUCAGCAACUAAUCUCCUAACAGCAUUAUUUCUGACAAAUAUGCGGUAUAUAAUUCUGAUACACUUUACUAUCUAUAUCUUAGAAUUUCAGUUUGGCAUUUAAAACAAGAGUUUUCAUCAUUUUUCUUUUCCAUUUUUCUGCUAAGAGAAUAUUGAGAUGGUUCAGGUUUCCAACAGCUGCUGCUUGGUUUCUUGUAACAGGCAUAUUCCUAUCCAGUAGUAUAAGAUUGUGAAAUGUCCCAUUAAUUGGUUAUAGAGUGAGCUUAACCCCAGCAGCAAUGAGAAGAGACUCUGCAACUGUUGUGUGCAUGCAGAAUUUUCUAAAUAAGUUGUUUUCCAAGUCGAGAACAGCCUCGAAAUGCACCAUCAUACCACUGCCACAUACAAGGUGACAAACUUGGCACUUAUAGAUUACUUUGGAGAAUGGAUGGAAAUUCUAACACCAGUAAGUUAAAUUUCAGGAAACAAGUUGCAGCAAAGAAAUUGCGAAUGACACAGAUCCUUCUCAUCAGUUGGCACACACAAACUCCAUACUUCGUCCCGACACAGAUUAAAGAAGAACUUAAAUGACAUAAAACAUCUAGCACAAACAAAUCACAAGACGGUGCAACAACGCCAGCACAACAAACUCCUACUUGGUUGGCUUCUUAAGUGGAACAGGAAUCUCACUUUGCAUUUCGACCACCUGCUUCCACGAGGGCCGAGCCGAGAUUGCUCUCCACCACCUCUCCACAUUUUUUCUCGAAGUGAAGAGCUUCUUUCCUUUCUCCGACGUGGUGUAAAGGUAAUGCGAGUUAGGAAGGUGGGAAAGAUCAGCAAGUGUAAAUUCACGGCCUGCCAGGUAUUCAUUCUCGCCAAGCCGAUCAUCAUAUACAUCAAGGAGUGAGGAGAGCUUCUUCUCCUUUUGAGCUAUCUCAUCUUGGUCGGGCAACAUUCCCAACGGUUCAGCAAAAGCUAGAUGAAAGACAAGCGAAGAACUAAGAGGCUCAAAGUUUAUGGCUUCUGCUUGUAGCCACUGCUCAAUCGAUGACUUCUCCAGAAUGCCUUUUCCAUAGAGAGCCUUGUUUCCCUGAUCUGCAUAUUUUACGCAGAUAUGCCGACAUAUCUCCUUUGAAUCUAUCACAAAAGAAGAAAAAAAAAUUGCCUUCAUAAAUUGGAAUGAUACUUCCAAAUAAACAACGGUCUUUCACAUAUAUUCUCGAACAACCAUUCGUUCACCUAUGUAUGCUGCUGUCAAAUCAAACUUUUUAAUGUAUACUCUCAAGUGUGGCUUCUCAGUUCUCACACACAACCACCCACCCACACAACCACACACUUAACGUAAGUCGGGAAACCAGCCAAAGUAUGCAGAGAAGUUGGUUUUAAAUCAGAGAAAUUUUCUUAGAAAGGGGAAUUUUGUAUGUACAAGGGUGUUUAUGUAAAAAAUACAAUUUUGAAUGGCAUUAAAUCAAUAAUUUAAGUGCCGUGACACGAAGUCAUGCCAAAAAUUUGCCGGCACAGUGCAUGCCGGGCAGGGCUGAUGCGUGCCGGUGACAAAAAAUACAUGUGUGCCGACACAUAAUUGCAUGAAAUAUUUAUAUUUUUAGCAACAAAAUAUUCUAACUGUUUAUUAUGUAUCUUUAUCAAAUCUUUUAAAUUUUAUUAAGAAAAUUACUUACUAAUUUAAAGAAUAGAAGGUUUUGAACAGUACCAUUGGCACGAAAACUGUAUCGUGCCGAUAUCUUGUUGUGGUGUAUACAGUACAUGCCGAUAGGUACUUAAAUUCUUGUAUUAAAUUAUGAUUAUACAGAGAUUUAUUAUAUAAAAUCAUACGGUUAAAUAUUAAAUACAUCAAUAAACAGUAAAGGGUUACUGUUAUUAUUCCUUACCCACAAGGGUGAGCAGCCCAUCCUUGAACGUUACCUGACCACUAGGAUCCUGCAAGAUUUGUAAGAAACACAUGAUUUCCCACUAAUGAAGGGGUAAAAUAAUAAUUGAGCUAGUCAAACGAAAUAAGAGAAAUACCACUACUAGUAAUAACUUGCCUGCAAUUUGAGGAACUCAGGGACCUUAUGAUUUCCAUCGAAUGUGUCAAUGCGAACAAGUUGGAACUCCACGUUCUUUUCGAAGAGGCACGUAAGCACCCUUGCGACAUCUGUGGAUGCCGGUUGCCCAAACACCGUCAAGCCCACCAUUCUUACUUCCCUUGAGUUCUCUUACAGUUAGCUCGAUGAAGGUAGCAUUCACACUCCCAAGGGGAAUUUAAGUUCAGGUAAGGCUGGAAUUCUGCGCUUUAUUUGUUGGAAGAAAGGAAAAGCGAAAAGCAAAAGCGAAAAGUGAAAAGGGAAAGACUGUAACACUUCUUUUAGCAAAGUAUGUUGAUAGCCACAGCCUUACCAUGUCUCACAAGUGGAUUUAACCAGAGGCUUACGCACAAUACUUCUCUAUAAUGCAACUUACGAUGAUUAUCAAGCCUAGGUUAUCUGCACAGACAUUACAUGUGCUUAAAAAGGAACGAGAUACAGUGUAAUAAUCGAGAUACUGCUUUCGCUUUGUUCUUUACUCCUGUAAAAACCACAAGCAAUCUCUUUACUCGAUAGCAAGAUAUUAUUGAGUACAUAUCAGAUCACAAAGUUUGAAACGAAGAUGAAUCACAGGAACCACAUAGCAUUCUUUUUAAAGCUCACCAACAACAACAAUGAAAAGUUUUCAGGUUCCGAGACUUGUUCCUUGAAGCUGCAUAAGAAACAACAAGCAAAUAGGAAAACACCCACAGAAACCGAAUAUCAAGCAGGCAGCGCGCGCUGCAUCUCGACGACCUUCUUCCAAGAAGGCCUCGCCGAUACCUCCUCCCACCACCUCCCGACGUUCUUCCUCGACGUUAAGAGCUGCCCCUUCUCCGUCUUGUUAACUAGGAUGUGGGAAUUGGGGAGGUGGGAGAGGUCGGCGAGGGAGAAUUCGUCUCCGGCCAAAUACCGGCUCUCGCCGAGCCGCUUAUCGUACACAUCGAGAACCUUCGCGAGCUUUGCUUCGUUCUGCUCGACGGCAGCCGGGUCCUGCUUAAGCCCCAUGAGCGGCGCGAACGCCAGCUGGAAGACCAGAGCCGAGCUCGGGGGGUUGAAGCUCUGCCCCUCGGCUUCCAGCCAUUGCUCAAUUGCAGCUCGCGCGACGAAGCCGCCUUCUUUAUUGCCCAUUAGGGUUUUGUUGCCCCUCUCGGCGUAUUUGUCGCAGAUGUAGCGGCAAAUUGCCCUUGAUUCUGGAGAUCCCCAGGGAGUAAACAAAUGAUGAUUGAAAAGGUGAGAGAAAUGGGAGAAGUGUGAGAAAUUGGUGUUGUACCGAAGAUGGUGGUGAGCUCGUCUUGGAAAGCGGGAACUUGGCCGAAGGGCUUUAGAGAGGGGGGGAUUGGAAGAGGGUUAGUAAAAUAGCGUCGACAUUAAAGUUAAAAAAAAAAAAAAAAAAAAAAAAAAAAAAAAAAAAAAAAAAAAAAAAGAGGGAAGGGAUAUACCUGGAGUUUGAGGUAGUCGGGGGAUUUGUGCUCGCCCUUGGCCAUGUCGACGCGGGCGAGCUUGAAGUCGACCUCCUUCUCGAAGAGGCAGGCGAGCACGCGGCAGACAGCCGUGGACAUGGGAGGACCGUACACGGUGACGCUCGCCAUUAGGAAACAGGAGGAGCAGAAAUGAAGACGCAGAAUCAGAGUACGCUUUUAUCCACGGCAGAAAAGAGGACGCGUAUAUAUAGUUCGUACAGAAAUGUUAUCUUUACGCCCAGAAAAUACAGGGUAUAAAUUUUACACCAAAAUUUAAAUAUUCCUGAUAUUAUCCUUUCUAAUAAAAUGUUCCGGAGAGUCCUCCACUAAUAAUAGUCAAAAAUAGAGGAUUCAAUGCAGAUCUUCUGCUGUCAAAAGCCACGAGAUCAUCGAGAUCAUUGAGGCUCUGCGACGUAACAAAAGGUUCAGUUCAGUCCAAGUUUACAGAGUAUAAGUCUGUGCAAGUUUAUUAACAGCUAACAAAAAUUUGAGUCUUAAUUGAAAACAAAGGGGAAAACAAAUGAUCCAUUUCAGAGCGCCUUCACUUCUUGGUAUGCAGCACCAAGACAAGUGUAUAUUGGGCCAUUUGCAGAAAAUAGCCAGAUAUUUAUUAUCACGAGUAUAAAUAUGAUAAGUAAUCAAUACAAAAUCAACAGAGCAUCUUCCUAUGGCAGAUAUAUAUGAAAAUCUUUAAACUUCCAUCAUACAAUUUAUACAUAAGAUAUAUGUAGACUGCUUCCUUUCUAUAUAUAUAUAUAUAUAUAUAUAUAUAUAUAUAGAAUCUAUUUGAUGCAUCGAAAAAGGAUAAAUACAAGCCUGUUUCUGUUGACCGGUGCUCUAUACAGUCUGGCUUAUCCUUGAUGCUUCCUAGUUUACACUCAAAAGAGUACAGAGUACAAAUGUCUCGCUCCGCAUGAAGUUAUAUUGCCGCUGCUUCAAAUUGAUUGCUAUUCUGGAUCAUUCUCGUCACAAAGCUAGUGAGCAUUCACAAUCAGAACCCAUUCUCACGGGUUUGCUUCCAGUCAAGACUUCAGUAGUUCAUCGGUUAGGCAACUUUAAAACUCGAUCCACGGGAAUUAUCAAAUACUAUAUAUAAAUGGAAGCACGAGGUGCGAGAUCACUGUAUUAGUUAAAAGUCAACCAGGUGGAAGGUAAUCGUGCGGAGUUGACGGGAGGCAUCUGCCGGACAUUCAAAUCAACAGGCAACAUUCGAUAUUCGAUUUCUAGCUCUCUUAACACUCUGAUCAUUUCCUGGACCACGAGCUCUCUCCUCUGGAACCUCAUCCCCAUAUCGUGAUGAUUGAUACGGUGCUGCAUCCAGAUUGAUAUUUUCAAACGGUUCAUGUCGUCCACAUCUCUCAGAACGAUCAUAGGGUUUGGAUGCCAGUGUUCUUUCUUACUCUCCAUAAACCUGCAAAAGUUCACAGCAGAUAUGAUCCUUAUCAACUCAAUUGGUUAUAUUUGUAUCAACAGGUACGUAGGAAAGAAGUCUACUUUUUGGACUUUGUUAGAGGCUCUAUCGGAAAAUAUACAAGAGAUAGGAGAGAUAUUGACCCAACAAAAGAAACUACUGCAUAAGAGUGAAGCUUACUUUAAUAUUCUUUCUUUCAUGACAGCAAGCUUUUCCACUGGUGUAGCAACAUGAACACAGAAGUCGAUUGCGUCUCCCAUAUCUGGGCUGCGAUAGUAAUUGCUGAUUGGUUUGGUAGCAAGAAUACUGUUUGGGAAGUAAAUCUUGAGGUUGUCAUAUCUCAGAAAGACUGUGGUCAUGAUAUUCAUUUCCUCGACAACUAACUGAAAGUCAUAAAAGCAAAUUUCAGCUAACACAGGAAAAACAAACUUGUAAAAAGGGGGAAAAAAAAAAGAAAGAAAAGUCAAAUUUGUAACCUUCACUUUUUAACACUUACCUGAACUCCUUCCACCUCACAACGAUCACCAACAUCAAAUGGAUGCAUCACAAAUAAGAAAAUUAUAGCCUCAAAGAUAGUCUUUAACGUAUUCCCGAACAUAAAAACUGCCAGAAGAAGCUGAGAGCUAAGAAAAACAAAGAAAUGGGUUGUUGCAAGGCCCAGAAUGAGAAGUGAUAGAGCAAAAACAAUAAAGCCCACAACGACAUUGGCCAUAUUGUUGAGCUUGUUUACAGCCGUUUUUGUAUCAUUAAGUGUCAAAGCAAGAGCUCUGCGUUCUCUGAAUGCAUUGACCUACAGUGGAACAAGCAAAACGAUUUAGACAGUUGUUUCCAUUAUGCACCUAAACAAACAUCCUUAGAAAGAUAAUAGAAGUGUAUUAUCAUUACCACCCAGUUUUUGAGGCACUUUCUGCUAAUCCUGUCCUUCUCUUUUGCUCCUUCAAAGAGAUUCAUAGUCCUUUCAGCUUCCUCUUGCCUCAUGAAACGCAGCAAAUCUGACAAGUAGAUGUACCUAUCAUGUAGCAGCAUAACCAAGUUAAUCGCUGAUUGCUGCAUGUAAGGAAAGCGAAACGACCAAAAGGACGUUAUUUAAUAACAUCUCAUUGCCUAUUCUCUGACAUAAAUUGGUAAUGCACGAGGAAAUGAUGGAAUUAGAAAUAUAACAUUUUUUUUUUAAAGAAAAAAUUCUGAACAUUCCCAUUUGUCAUCAUGACACUCAAUGGAACCUGCAGUUUCGCAAAAUCUUCUAAGAAUAAAAUGCUGAAAUUUCACUCGGUUCUGCUCCCUAAUAAGACACGGAAGCAACAGCCUUACUGAUAUACACUCUGUCCAAUUCAGCAGCAGAACUGAUUGUGCAAGUAUGAAAAUGGACUUCUAGCAUUUAAUUAAUUAACUAUGAAAGGACAGUACCCACCAUUUCAGAGAAUUUUUUUUCUUUUAUCAACACAAUGUGGGUAAGAACCAUCAAUUCCUUUGUCUUUAACCACAUCUUCAGACUUCAACAGACAGAAGGCAAUAAGAUAGGCUUGACUAGACCAGGUGCCCAAAGAUAAAUACAUGCAUGGAUUACAUUAUUAGUGUAUCAAUCAUGACGAGAGCAAUACAAGGUUUGUCCAUUGGAGCAUUUGUAAAAUUGGGUUGCUUUCAGAUAGUGACAAUUUAAAAGCAUACAAGUAGCACUCACAGUGGACGAUGUGUACCACCACCUAGACGUAUUUGUGCCAACUAGGUUGUUAUAAAGAAGGUAAAAUUAACUUUGUAAAAACCGAAAAUCAAACCUGUCAAAGGCAAUAAAUAACUGUUACUGUUGAACAAAUCUGCUCUUUCGCUCAAUUCUGAGCCAUCUAAAACAAUUAUUGUCCCCCGCGAAUGUUAUAUCAGCUAACAUGCAUAUUGAAAUUUCUUUUGUUCUCUUGUGAAGCGGUUAAAAAUGUAAAUAACGCGACUAACUAUCACAAAAGAGGAUUUUUCCAUGGACAAUUUAAAAGUGCUUAAUCUACCAAACGUGUGUUAGCCAAUCAGUUAUCAGAACAAAUUGAGAUAAAAUGAGAUGCUCGAUCUUACUUGCUACCAGGCCGGGCCACAUUCUUGAAGAUCUUCCUGGCCGCCACCUUCGCCUCGUACUCGCUCCUUAUCUUCAUAGUCGAAUCAUCCUCCCCGCCGGUCGCCUGCGGUAUCUUCUCGUGAAGCGUCGUCAGCGUGCCGUAUCUCACCAUCUUCAUCAGCCUCUUCAUGUUCCACGCAGAUAUGUUCUUCUGGUUGAGCUUGUGCAGCUGAUCGAUCCUGAUCACGUCUUCCUGCUGCUGCUCCUGCUGUUGCUGCUGCUGCUUCGACCCGCCGCUCCACGAGAGCUUGAUGCCCCCGAUCUGCCCGCUCUUCGGCACAGCGCCGCCCUGCCCGCCGACCCCGGCCGCCUGCCCGCUCUUGUUGGGAAGCGUGGCCGCCUUGAGGUCGUUCGGCAGGGUUGCCCCCGCGUUCUGGAGCUUCUGCAGAUCGGCCAUCAUGCGGUCCUCCUCGUACUGCUCCUGCUGCGCCUCGAUCAGCGGCGGCCCCGAGAGCGUCUCGACGACGUACUGAUUGAAGAGAGCGUCCUGAAUCCGGUCGAAGUAGGUGCUCACGUGGAACGACGACGCGAGCACCUUGAGGAGCAGCGUCUUGACGAGGCGGAGGAGCGUGGCGAUGAGGAGGCAGACGAGCACUUUGGUCACGUAGGGGAGGGUCGUGCUGUGCGUCUCGCGCUCGACCUUCUUGUCGAACAUGAAGUGCCAGGAGAGGAGGACGAGCCCGAGCCAGAGGCAGUUCUGCACGGCCUUGCGCACGCCGUAGACGAAGUAGAGCACGCGCUUGCGGAGGAGGAAGUUGCGCUCGAAGAAGAAGACGACGACGCGGAUGAACCACCCGGAGACGAGGCGGCCGCAGAUGAGGACGAAGCCGAGGAGCUCCCAUUUCCACAGGUGGAGGUGCCACAGCGUCUCGUCCUGGAGAACGGGGAUCGCGAGGUUGCACACGAGAGCCGCGACGAUGAGGAGGAGGCUCAGCCACUGGAGGAUGGUGAGCGCGCCGAUCUUGCCGCGCUUGAACUCGUCGGGGAUGUCGUCGUCCAAGAACGGGUCGUCCUCGUCUUCCUCGUUGCCGAGCAUCCCCGACCGCAUCAUCCCCGAUUUAUUCGGCGUUCGCUCCGACCUCCUCUCGUUGUCGUUGCUCUUGAUGUUGGUGCUGUUGGUGCUGUUCGCCGGCGUCGCAGAGCGCGGCGAGGGGUCGAGCAACCUCGACCGCGUCUUGACGCGCGCGAGCGAGGGGCUGCGCCGGAACUCGCGGUUCGAGCUCUGAGCCGCGGCCUCGGAGGCGGCGGCGGCCUCGGCGGCGGCGGCGGCGGCGGCGGCAUUAUGAUCGCUGCGGUGCUCGCCGACGACCUCAUCGUUGUCGGAGGAGGAGCCGGAAGUGGAGGUAGAGGACGACGAGGGUUUACAAGCGGAGGAGUUCUCCAGCGAGACGUACUCUCGCGAAGACGAGGAGUUGUGCUGCUUCCUGAGCUCGUCCGUCUCGAUGUCCAUAUCCAGCGACACCUCCGCCCCGGACGCCCGCUGCUUCCGCAGGAACGAGCUGAUGAGCCGCGACGGCGGGUCCUCGCCGCUCUCCGCCACCGGGUUCAGGUUCGGGCCCUGCUUCUGGUUAUGACGAUUCCUGAAGCUGAAGCCAUUGCUUCCUCCACCCCCACCCCCGCCACCAUUACCUCCUCCUCCUGCUGCUGCUGCUGCUGCUUCUCUCCAAAAAUCGUAGCUCCCCUCUCUCCACAAGUUCGCGUUGGGGGCGGGCUCGCUCUUCGGCGUGGAGGAAGGGGUGGGCGGGUCGAACGGGCUGCGGCUGUUCCCGUCGAUCUUCACCACGACCUCGUCGCGGUGGUGGUCGUCGACGAGCAUCGGGCGAUCCUCUUGCGCGUGCUCGAACGACGGGGCCCUCGACGAGGACGAAAACCUGCUCGACCCGCCGUACGAAUGCUUCGGUUUCCGCAGCGAAUCCAUGGCCGGAUCCACAAUACGGGGUGACGAUACUGCACUGCGGUACUAGCCUUCUUUUAUAGUACUGGAUCGUUCCAGAACAUGGUAAUGGGGGUGAUGACGGAGAGAAGAGAAAAGAAGAGGAAUUAUUAUAAAAUAAACGGAGAGAGAUACGCCCCAUUGUUAGAUUCACAUUUUUUAUUUGCAUGAUCAUUAAUGUUAGUUACCUUCUUUAAUAGCUUUUUAACGGCAUAAAUAGUUUUAUAUGGGGAGCCAUUAGAGACAGGGAAGCGAAGCUUAGAAAGGAAAGGACGGAGAAGGGCAACAUGUGGAAAGGGCGGGCACUAGCAAUAGAAAGUGGGAACUAAUUAAUAAUGUCUCUGUCGCGCGACGUGGCAGAGCGAGCGAUGUCGUUCUUUAGUUGUUGGAACAGAUUAUCUGACCCUCCUCGAGCCCUGUGCCAACGUUGGCCUAAUAUAGCCUCGGCUUCACGCUUGUUAAAUUGCACCACUGGUCCCAAACUUUUCUCCCUCGAGUUUCAUUCUUUUUAGCCUUCAAAUUGCAAGCUCCACAAUAGUCAGUUUCUAAAUUUUCGAAACUUUUUUAUUUUAUAUUUUAUCUAUAUUUUCUAUUUUAGCGUAAAUUAUUAUUACUUGUAUUUAGUAUAUUUUUAUAUCUAUAUAAUUUUUAUUCUAUUGAAGUUUCAAAUUUUUUAGAUUAAAAUGAAACGUCACGGUAAAUUCAGGGACUAACGCUGCAAUUUUCGCCCAGUUUAAGAUGAAACGAGGGGUAAUUUUGUGGGAAAAAAAGUAUAGAGCAAUGCUGGCCCCAGAUAUAAGUUGGUAGUUUGAACGAUCGGUUUAGUUAUACGAGGAUCGCUUUAGUCAAACGUUGUCGUGUAGUGAGGGGCGCGUGGACGGUGAGAUCUUGUUCGAGGUUUUUUGGACGGUGGAUCACGAUGCACGUAACACAGUGUGACGCGGUGUUCGCGGCGGGCGUAGCUAGUCGUCGCCUCAGCCCACGUUACGCGGGCCACUAUAGCAUUAAAUAAAAAAAAAAAAAAUCCGAAGGACGUCGACCAAAUCCCUUUGUCGUUUCCAGUUUAAACUCCGAUAAUGGAAUUAAUUAUUCGCCAAAUCCGAUUGUCGUUUCCAGUUUAAACUCUGAAAAUAAAAUUAUCAUUUAUUACUGUUAUUGUUAUGCAUGCAGCAACACACAUCAAAUAUUAUUGACACAUUUAUAUCUCAGGGUAGUCGUUGGGUGCACCUUCUUACGUACGUAAUAGAAUUUGAAUAAAUAUUAUAUGCACAUCGUACUUAGCAGGUGUGCAUGAGAGGAAAAAUUUUAGACUGCAACGGAUAUAUUAGUGACGUAGCGUAACAAAUCAAUCAAAUUAAUUAUUUUAAAAAUAUAUGUCCCAUCAUGAUUGUAAAAAAAUAUUUUUAUUGUACUUUUGUUUGAAAAGAAUGAAUAUGAUUGGCUUGUUAUUAAUGAUGUGGUGCAAGUGUGACAGUGUAGAAUUCCUCGCACGAGAGAAUUAUCUUGGAUGCGUUUUGGAUACGUGCUUGCUUUUGAUAGGGAUAUUAAAAGGGGCCUAUGCGAAAAGUUAAAAAGAAAAAAUAAUUUCAAACAAAUUCUUCAACAUUUUAAAUAUAUCAUAGAUACCUCUCUAAAAUUGUUGCCAAUUUUUUAAAAGUUUAAAUUACAAAGUAACCUAUUUACACCUCACAGUAGUUAAUUAUCAUAUAAGUUAUAACUUUUAAGUCCAAUUCAUGUCACUUGGAAUAGCUUUUUUAAAUUUAGAAAACACAAAAUUGUACAAGUAAAAAAAAUCAAAGCAAAAACUGUAAGAAUAUAAAUUUGAAAUAAAGAUAUAUAUAGUAAUAUAAAUCAAAACUAAAAUAGAAAACUACUGUACUAUAUUAAAUAUUAUAAAGAUUUAAAAGGUGAUCAAAGUAAAUUAUAAAAAAUAUAAAUAUGAAAUAAACUCAUAGUAAUAUAAAUCGAAGCUAACAUAAAGAAUUACUAAACACCUUCUACAAUAUUGUGAAAAUAUUUAAAAAAUCUAAUAAAAAGUAUAUAGUUCUUCCAUUUGAAUUAAACAAAUUAAAUGAAUAUAUAUUAACUAAAUGAAAUAAAAUAAAGGCACACUAAAUUAUUCAAAAUGAAAAUAUAUUAAAAUAAUUAAGUUAAACUAGGUUAAGUCAAAAAAACACCUACAUGUACAUUUGUAGUUUAUAAAUAUAAAAAUUAUAUUCUUAUUCUCUCAUAGACUAGAAUUUGCUUAAUUAUUUUAUUAAUUUUUAAAUAUUUAAAAACCUAAAAUAUUUUUUUAAUUCCUAAAUUAUAUGGUGUAAAAUGUAACCAUGCAAUAGAGUAUGGAUAGUAUUUUAUAUAAAUUUAAAAUGUUUAUACAGAUUAUUUUUAGUUGCUUAUGAGCCAAUUAAUAGUUGGGUCUGUAUCAUAUUUCACUUCCACAUAAAUUUAUCCGGUGGAUUUGGAAUGGACCUAAUUUUGUACUUAUUAUUAUACCAAUUGAUUUUUUCAAAUGUGAUUAUAUAGCCCAAUUGAUAGUAUCAUACGUUUAAUUAAUUAGACAACUUUAUAUAAAUAGUAAAUUUAGUUCUAUUUAUACUACCAUUCUAUUUCAUAGUGAGCGAUGCUUGCUUGAAACAAUCAACCAACUUUCCAAUUUAAAUCUAGAACAAUAUUAACACAAUGUCAAAGUUACAUGAGAGAAAUUUAAUACCAUGUAAAUUUAAUAGAACAAUAUUAACACAAUGUCAAAGAUACAUGAGGGAAAAUUAGCUUCUCCAUGCCACCUAGCUUUCACUCAUUUGUAUUUCAAUUCUUUUUGUUAGUUCAAUUAACAUUUCCAUUAAAUUUAUAUGAUUCAGAUGAAUAAACUAAUCGAAUUUGCCUCCACCGUUGGAUGGGAGGGGGCAUACAUAGCAAGGCGUCCUCCGCCGUUGAUUAAAAUAUUACACAUCAAUUGGAAAAACAAAAGACAGAAAAAUUUAAAUGGGCCUACUUCAAAUGGGCCAGAUGUAUGUUCAAAGUUUUGCACUGGGCCUGCAUUAGAUCUUAACGGUAAAUGUUUAGUCCAGGGUCCCAUGUGUGUCUAUUUGCAUCAAUCUAAAACACGAAUCAAAAUGCAGUUUGGACGGCUCGCUUAACAGUGUAAAUUACUAGGACAAGAUAAAAUUAUGCGGACGUGAGAUACGUUGCUUACGGAGUACGCUUUCGCUUUCCCGAGUCCUGUAACGGUCAUCAGUCAUCACCCUGCCUAUAUAAGGAGAGGAGCAGGCGCGGUGGGCGAUCGUUUUGAAAGAGGGAACGAGAGGGGAGAAGCGAGAGGAGGGCGAAGGGUUCGCAGCGAGAGAGAAAGGGCUCCUGCUUCUCUCUUGCGAAGCUCUUUCGCCAUGGCCGAUGAUCCAUUCAAGAUCCCUUCUCUUCUCCCGAUCUCCGGUUUCUCUCUUUGGAAGCGCAUUCUCCAUGACCGAUGAACCCUUCAAGGUAAGGUCCCUUCUCUUCCUCCGAUCCCUUCAAGGUAAGGUCCCUUCUCUUCCUCUGAUCUCCUUUUUUUCUCGUUGGAAGCGCUUUCGCCAUGGCCGAUGAUCCCUUCUAAUGUCCCUUUCUUCGCUCCUCCGAUCUCCUGUUUCUCUCUUUUGAACCCCUUUUGCCAUGGCCGAUGAUCCCUUCAAGAUCCCUUGCUUUUCUUCUUCCGAUUUCGGGGUUGAUCGCCUCGGAGGGUGGAAGAGGUGGGGAAUGCGAAGGAUUUGCAGCGGGGGAGAGAAAGGGCUCCUGCUUCUCUGUGUCGAAGCGCUUUCACCAUGGCCGAUGAUUCCCUCAAGAACCCUCGCUUAUCUUCUUCAUCUUAGCGGCGGAUAGGGUUCUUGAUCGCGUCCUUCUUACCGCGACUGGUGAUACUCAGGUAAGCACUACCCCUAGACCCCUCACUUCGCUUCCUCCGAUCUGAGCAGCGGGUAAUGUUCUUGAUUGUCUCCUAAGAAUCGCAUGGAGCAACAUGAGGUAAAUGUGAUCUCUCCCUCCAAGAUCAUUCGUUUCUCUUCUUCCAAAAUCAGUGUCGUGUCAGGUUUGCGUUAUCUGUUUUUUCUUCCGAAAUCACUGUUUCGUCAUGGUUUCUGAAUCGCUGAUCCAUCAAGCAUUCAACUAGUUCUAGAUCACCUCUUGUGAAUAUUGAUAAGCGAAAUGCAAGUGAGCGAUCUUUCAUUUAAUUGUGUUAUCGACCUACAUGGAGAAAUUCAUUGGUAGGGUUAGGGUUCCGUUGGUUUGUUUUAUGGAUUUCUCCAUCCCACUAUUUAAUAUUUCGAUAAUGAGGGUAGAAGCCUAAUGCUACCAUCUGGGGAGAAAAAAAAAGAAGAAAUAAUGGAAGUUUUAAGUUGCCGCCAUGUUAACAUCUUCCUUUGGGAGAUUACAUGGGCAAAUGCGGGCCUAUAUUGGUAUUGCAAAGUGGGUAGUGUCAUUUGGAAUUGCACAAUGUCAUUGCUUAACGUGAGCUUCUCCACUGGUGUUGGCUGGUUAUCUAGUAGUGGUCUGACUCAGAAGGCAGUAACCUGCAACUGAGCCAAAACUAACAUAAUUGCUCGAAUGAACAGCCCAUUGUUAAAUCUUUGUAGGGAUAUCAUUUCUCAAUCUUUAUAAUUUUUUUUAUCAUUAUUUAUUUACUGAGGAUGGGAACAGGGAAGUUGCUGUCUGGAUAAAACUAUGGAAGCUUUAAGUUGCAUGUACCUCGUCUCUGUUAAAUUCAGAGAUGCCUUGGUGCCGCUACUCCUCUUGGAUCUGCAUCCGGAUGUAAACUCGACAAUUUUUAAAAAUUCUUUCUACCCCCUUGCCAAUAGUCUUGGAGAACUUGAGUCUUCUUCACGGAUUGCAAGGUGGCUAAAGCCAUUUGGGAUUGCGGUUCCUUUGAUGCCAGCUGUUUCUCUGGUGGUUGGCUUUCGGAAGGCAGUAACCUCCAACCGAGCCAAACUAACCAACUACUUGCCCUAAAUUUUCUCAGGGAAAUAAAUGAGUCCAGAAACCCUGAUUAAUAGCACCUGGUAAAAUAGAUGAAAGCUUAAAGUUGCACUCUGCAUUAAAUUCUCCCUUUGAAAGAUGUUUGGGCAUACUCCGUCCUUUCAGUGUCUUGGCUUGCCCAUGUGAACUUCAUAUCAUUUCGGAUUCUUGCCGCCCCCUCUGCAAUCUUAUGGAAGGUUUUGAGUAGGGCCCUUUCAAUUUGCAUUAUAUUAUCAUUCUCUGUUCCUUUGGUGCCAGCUGGUUAUCUCGUGGUUGCCUCUUGGAAGGCAGUGACCUGCGACCGAGUCAGAUUAACCUAUUACUUGCUCUAAAUUUUCUCGGGGAAACCAGAACUUACUCUGCCCUGCAAUGCGUUCCCCAUGUAAGCUUCAUACCAUUUCGGAUUCUUGCUGCCUGUGUUUUGCAAAUAUUCCUGGAGAUUCGAGUAUCUCUAUAUAAAAUUGCUAGGUGGCUAGAGCCGUUUCAGUUUGCUUUGUCUCACCACUCUAUCUGUGCUUCUCCUCUGGUGCCAGCUGGUUAUCCUGUGGUUAGCUCUUGGAAGGCAAGCUGCAACCGAGCCAAAUUAAGCUAUUACUUCAAACUUUCUCAGGGAAACCAAUGAGGCUGGAGGCAAAUUAUACCACCUGAAAAAACAGAUAAAAGUUUAAGUUGCCCUAUGUGUUAAAUUCAAAGAUGGCUUGGUGCGGCGACUCCCCUUGGAUAUGCAUGCCGACGUAAACUUGACAAUUUUUUAAAAUUCAUUCUGCCCCCUGCCAAUAGUAUUGAAGAACUUGAGUCUUUCUUCAUGGAUUGCAAGGUGGCUAAAGCCAUUUGGGAUUGCGCUUCCUCUGCUGCCAACUGUUUCUCUGAUGGUUGACUCUCGGAAGGCAGUAACCUGCAACCAAGCCAAACUAACCAAUUACUUGCCCUAAAUUUUCUCAGGGAAAUAAAUGAGUCCAGAAAUCCCUGAUUGUAGCACCUGGUAAAAUAGAUGAAAGCUUAAAGUUGCACUCUGCGUUAAAUUCUCCCUUUGAAAGAUGAUUUGGGCAUACUAUGUCCCAUGGGAACUUCAUAUCAUUUCGGAUUCUUGCUGCCCCCUCUGCAAUCUUCUGGAAGGUUUUGAGUAGGGCCCUUUCAGUUUGCAUUAUAUUAUCAUUCUCUGUUCCUCUGGUUCCAGCUGGUUAUCUUGUGGUUGGCUCUUGGAAGGCAGUGACCUGCAACUGAGUCAGAUUAACCUAUUACUUGCUCUAAAUUUUCUCGGGGAAACCAGAACAUACUCUGCCCUGCAAUGCGUUCCCCAUGUAAGCUUUAUUCUAUUUCGGAUUCUUGCUGCCCGUGUUUUGCAAAUAUUCCUGGAGAUUUUGAGUAUCUCUAUGUAAAAUUGUUAGGUGGCUAAAGCCAUUUCUGUUUGCAUUGUCUCACCACUCUAUGUGUGCUUCUCCUCUGGUGCCAGCUGGUUAUCUUGUGGUUGGUUCUUGGAAGGCAGUGACCUGCAACUGAGUUAGAUUAACCUAUUACUCGCUCUAAUUUUUCUCGGGAAAAUCAGAGCAUACUCUGCACUGCAAUGCGUUUCCCAUGUAAGCUUCAUACUACAUCGGAUUCGUGCUGCCUGUAUUUUGCAAAUAUUCCUGGAAAUUUCAGUAUCUCUAUAUAAAAUUGCUAGGCGGCUAGAGCCAUUUCGAUUUGCAUUGUUUCAUCACUCUACGUGUGCUUCUCCUCUGGUGCCAGCUGUUUAUCCUGUGGUUGGCCCUUGGAAGGCAAUCUGCAACCGAGCCAAAUUAAACUAUUACUUCAAACUAGGAAACCAAUGAGGCUGGAAGCAUAUUAUACCACCAGAAAAAACAGAUAAAAGUUUAAGUUGCCUCUGUGUUUAAUUUUCCCUUUUAAAGAUGGCUUGGGUGUACUCUGCUCUUCAGUACCUUGCCCAUGUAUUAUUGCAAUAUCUUGCUACCUAUCUACAAAUUCCUGAAAAUCCUGGGUAUAUCUUCAUAAAUUGCAAGGCGCCAAGAGCCAUUUUGGAUUGCUUAUCACUUUAUGUGGGCUCCUUCGGUGUCGACUGGUUAUGUUGUGGUUGGCUCUUGGAAGGCACUAACCUGCAGCCUUGCCAAACCAAAAUAUUACUUGCUUAACUGGUGGCCCACUUUUGAACCUUUGUAUCAUAAUCUCAAGGGAACCUGAGAUCCCUAUUGCUGCGACCAGGAAAAAUCUCAUGAAGCCUGGUUAAUUUCGUAGUUUGAAAAAUUAGAAGAUGAUUUGGAGUGGACUUCUCCCAUUUUAAAAACUUAAAUGUUGUUUCAGAUCUUGCUGCCCCUUCUAUAGAAGGAAUGAAUAUAUCUUCAUGGAUUACAACUCUGGGUGGUCUGCAUGAUGUUAGUAGUUAAUGUUCACUUCUCCUAUUUGUCAGUAUCUUGUGGUUGGCUCUCGGAAGGCAGUAACUGCAACCGUACCAAACCAAUGUAUUAUUUGCUCUACUUCCAGGCUGUUGCUUGGAAAAAUUUCUGGAAGCCUAGUUAUUUCUUACUUUGGAAGAUGAAUUGGGCUGGACUCCUCCCAAAUGUGCUUUUUUAAAAUCUUUCGUAUCAUUUCAGAUUUUUGUCACCCCCUCUGUAGUACUCCUGAAGGUGUUGAAAUAUAUCUUCAGGGGCUUCGUUUUUUGCAGGAUGCAAUGCUGGCCCUUGUGGGGGUACCUUGCACCAUAGUUGUUCCUUCAAGGGUAGCAUCCUCGAAGCUAUAUCUGUACGGAAGUUAUACUCUGCAUGAUCUGCGUUGUUCCUUCAAGGGUAGCAUCCUUGAAGCUAGAUCUGUAUGGAAGUUAUACUCUGCAUGAUCUGCGUUUUUUAAGGGAAGGUUUCUCUCUUGUAAAGUAUUUUGGGACUCUAAAUAUGUAUUAGGGAUAAUAUCUAAUAUACCCUUCAAAACUUCAAAAAUAUCUAAUAUACCCCUAGUUGACCAAAAUGGUCUUAUUGAUUUUCAAAAAUCCCUUCAAAAAUUCCCAAACCCCUAGGGAUUACUAAUGUAAAUUGGGGUUUUGAAGGGUAUUUGGGUAAGUUCAGGGUAAAUUCGAAAAUUUUGAAUAGUAGUCAUGGCUAAAUAAGCAAAAGACCCGUAUUAGGUUGCAUUUCCUUGGUUUUUAUUUUUGCUUAGUGAUCUGUUCUUAUAUUACAACCCUGGUUUAUCAAUACCUGAUUGCUGAGUUAAAUAAAUGAAUCUCCUUUGUUCAGAGAAAAAAAGAAUCUAAGACUUUGUCCAUCCUAGAGGUUCGGUUUAGAUCUUUUGUGCUAACUUAAAGAGCUUCAGUAAGUUGUUUUCUUGCUGCUAACAGGAGCUGGGCAUCAAGGCAUUAAGAGCCAAAAUUAGACUCUUCCUGGUCCCGGUGCCCUGUGGAAUUGCAAAGGUCAACAAGUUCUCUAAGAAGCACUAGAAAGCGUCAACAAGUUCUUCGCCCCAUUGUCCUGGGGACAUGCUGGUGUGGCUAUGUUGAACUGGUAACAAAUGCAGCAAUCUGCCUUAUAUACAGGUGGAGAAAAUGCUGCUUCAGACAUUGCUUGCUUUUCUGACAGUUUUGACUGGUGGAUCAUGAAGUUUUUUAUAAAACUGCGAUGAGGAUGGGGUAUAAUUUUUUCCCGAUCUUUACUUACUAUCUGUAAGGUUGUGCUUUCUUGCUACUUUCUUACUGAGCUAUGUGGUUCUUGCUGCUAUGCUGGAGUAAUUAGUCUGUUUUCAUAUCUGCAUCUUAUGUUUCAGUGUUUAAUACUUUAAUGUGUUAUUAUAUUGAUAAAAUAGAAGUUUUUAGUUUUUAUUUUGAAUGGCAAAUUUUGCUUCCUUGCUAAUUUCCUAUUGAAUUUGUUGAUUCCUGCCAAUAAGCUGGAAUAGUUAGUCUUUUCUGUAUCUACAUUUCUGGUGAUUUUUGGUGUUAACUGUAUUUGGAUGUGAGUGAGUACUAUAGGGUUUUUUUUUCCUUUGUUGCGUAUUGUAUUUUGAAAUACAAAUUUUCAUUCGGGCUCGCACUGUUACUUUCUGUUCGUAAUUGGAUUUUCUUUUUUUUCUCCAUUGAUGGUAGAAUAAGAGGAUAAUUGGUUAUUCUAAAAUCUUGCUGCGGUUCUAUAACAUCUGUAGGCAAUUGGUUAUUAGAUAAAUGCAUGAAAAUAAUGUAUAACUUUUAUUUUCUGCUCUUUUAAAGAACUAACAAUUUUUUUUUCUUUGAGAGAAACGUAGCAAGCUAUCACCUUCGUUCUUUUUUUUUAAAAAAAUGAACUAAACUAGAAAUAUGAAGCAAACUAGACUUCGAAUUUGGGACCUUGGGUACCAACCAUAAAACCAUUAGCCAACUGUGCUAGGCACGAUCGGCUUUUGAACAAUUAAUCAUUAUAUUGGAUUUUUAUUGGUUGAGUUGAAGAACUAAUCAUUAUUCACUAGCUCCUGAGUUGAGAUAAUGAAUUUGCUUUUACAGAGUCAAAAAAAAAAAAAAGCAAGGUUGUUCUGACCUAGAGGCUCAGUUUGGAUCACUGCAUCGUGCUAAAGGUGCCAGCUUCAAACAAUGACUUCGCGAGGCAUAACUGAACCCUUCUUGGCCCCAUUGCACUGGGAACUUGCAAGUUUGCGUCAACAAGUUAUUUGAGAAGCACAAUGAUGUGGCAACAAUUUCUCGGCCCCACUGCCCUGGGGACUUGCUGGUAUGGCUAUGUUGAACUGGUAACAAGAUUCAAUAAUUUGACCCAUGGAGGUAGAGGUAAUGUUGCUCCCUACAUUUUUCUGCUUUGUUGGUGAUGGUUUUGACUGACGGAUGGAAUACUUGUAAAGUUUUGCUAAUUUAUUAGUUUUUCUACAUUGGAAAGUAAUUUUAUUCCUAUCUCACACUUUCUCAAAACAGCUGUCAGGAUUAUUAUUAUUUCAAUCUGAAUUUAGAUCAAUUGUUGCAGCUCAGGAGAGUGGCAUUUCUUGCGGCUUAGUAAGAUGGUGCUUUUCGCAGGCCAGAUUUAUUAAUAUGUUGUGUCUUAAGAUUAAUCAGAAGAUUGCCUGGACUUGAAUAAUUCCAUGCUAGGUAAAAAGAAUAAAUUAUUUUUAUUACAGACUAUUUACCUCUGUUAACAGGUUUUGUAAAAUUUAAUUUCUUUACUAUAGCUAUUAACAUUUAAUUUCUUUACUAUAGCUUAUUCAUUUUUUUUUUCCUUUCGCAUGUUAAAAGUUUCUUAUCAAAACCAUGCUUUUUUCCUAGCUCUUCUUGCUAAAAUCCAGUCCACUUAUCUCUUUUCUAUUUCCUCCCAUCCCAAAUUCAACAGUUUUUUACUAGCCAAAUGUUGGAGAGUUUCAACAAAUUUCUUCCACUUCUAAUGCUCCUCCUGCCUUUUCUCAUUUCCAUUCAUUGAAAUCCUUAUUUUAAGACAUUUUUUCUCCUUCCACCUAUCACCUUGUUCAGACCAUAUAUCCAUCCACAUGAUACAGAGUAACAGAAGGCUAAUAUGACAUUUUUUUUUAUUGAAACAUUUGUACAGAGGACAUGGAUUAUUAGAAGAUUCAAUAAUAUAUAUCACAAUUCAAUGCAAAAAAUUGUUCUCUCAUAUACAUUCUAAACUAUUUCAUUAUUCUUUGAGAAAUUAAUCUUUUUUAAUAUUAUUUGAAACAUUUUAGGCUAUUCUGUCAUUAUUUGAAACAUUUUAGGCUAUUCUGUAGAUUUGUAUAAGUUAUUUGAAUAGAGAAGUAAAACCCUAAUUCAAUCUAGCUAGGAAUCAAGAAAGGAUGGAUAAAAUUAACAAUUUUUGUCGCUAGAUUUGGUUUCUGGUAAUUACAUGCACGUUUUACAUGUUUAUAAGGGUUUUACAUGUUUAUAAGGGAUUGAUAAGAUUAACACUUUUCCCCUUACAUGUUUAUAUUACUGAAACUUUUCCAAAUAAGUCAUAUGGUUUAUCCUUAUUUAAGAAUUCUAUUCAUGACUGGUGCCAGAUUUCUUGUUUCAGUGUAUCUUGAGUUUUCCAGUUAGAUAUAUGCUCCUGUGUGUCUGUUGCAGCAACUAUGUAAAAUUUAUGUACAAUUUGUUCAUAUAGUUUAGGGUGACCUCCUAGUACGUGUUGCAGAAGGUUCCUGUGGGCAAUCAGCCGUACAUGUCUUGCCUGCUUGCACCGGUAACACCUGCCAUGCCGGCGAGGGCACGUGGACGCAAAGUGUGGAUCACCACAGAAUACGCAUGGUCUGUACUCGGCAGUUAACAUUAUGUUAUCUUAAAAUAAACUACUAUAGAAGCGACUUUACUAAUAAUUGGGUGAAACAUCCUUUUUGACUUAAAUAGUAACAAUCUUGGUGUUUGGCCCAUGCUAUAAGCUCAUCAUGUUACUUCCCAAUCAAUCGUAGAGUAAGUACUGAUGCCCUUGUAUCUAUUUAUUUAGUCUGAUCCAUUUCUAUCUUGAUGCUUAUAUUUUGUUUUACUCAAAUUGUGCCUGGCAGGUGCAGAUUCAAGCUUGUGGCUUGCAUUGUGCCAGUGUGCAUGUGCAUACAUGGAAAUGACAAUUACAAAAGGUAUUGAUGAUUUAGAUUUCCCACUUAGGGUCUGUUUGGUUCACCGUAAAACUAUAAAGAAUAAUUUUCGGUGGGAAAAAAAAAUUUACGCUCUUUAACGUUUGGUUUAUAGAAAAAGAAAAAUAGUUUUUCAGACAUGCUUGUUUGUUGAAAGAAAACGAUUGAAUGAAAAAUAAUUUUAUAUAUAUUUCUUCUAUUAUAUAUUAUGUAUUAUCUAUAUAAAUAAUAUAUUAUGUAUUAUCUAUAUAAUUAAAAUUUAUAUAUAUAUAUAUAUAUUAUUAUCAUCAUCAUUAUCUAUAUCUAUAAAUUAAAUAUAUUAAAAGAUAUAUUCUAUAAUAUUAUAUAAUAUAAUAAAUAUAAUAUGAUAUAGUAACAUAUAUAUAAUAUAGUAUAUAAUAUAUAAAUAUAUGUUUAUAAAUAAAAUAUUAUAUAAUAGUAUAUUAAUACAAAGAGAAAAAGUGGGUAAGUGACUCUCUUUUGGUUUUCGUUUUCUACCGAAAAACAACAGAAAACGGAAACUUCAAUUUUUUCCCAAAUCCGUAAAAAUACUUUUACAAAAAAAUUAUUUUACGUCAAAACCAAACAAGCAGAAAAGCAUUUUUCAUACCGAAAAAAUACUUUUACAAAAAAAUUAUUUUACGUCAACACCAAACAAGCAGAAAAGCAUUUUUCAUACCGAAAACAAUUUUUGACGUUGUUUUGCGCCGAACCAAACACCCCCUUAAGUUCCCUAAUUCUUUGGUGCACUGGUACGUCAUUGGUUCUGAAACAUGGUAAGAUGAUUUAGCAUAAUAUGAAAAACUUAGAGAAAAAUGUCUCUAGUAUUCAUGAUCUUAGUCUGCUUUUCUCUUCCUGCCUAAUUUCAUUGUGGAUCUCUCUUGAAUGCAUCAAUUACCCAUGCGUGGUAGCCCUAUAAAAUUUAAUUAAUUGUCAAUUUAUCAUUUCGUGCCACCAUUAGUGUGACCUCUGGAAGCGUAUUUUGCCUGUUUCCAGCAGUUUUGAACGAAAGUGUCGUAUAUAAUUGCUAUUACCCAGGAUGGAUUGUCUAAAAUUCCCUCAGUAAACAUAAACACGUUGUCACGCUUAGUUGACCAGAUCAAAUUUAGGUGCAUUAAUUAGAGGAUCCAGUGCGCUUUUUAUUUUGAAUGGAUUUAGCUCAAAUUUGGCUGAGGUACGUUUUUCCUCAACAUUUUUGUUGAAAUAUUUUAUAGGUUGGAUUUUGGAUCCGAUCAGGUUUUGUUCGCUAGCAAACUAGUUUAGUUUUCUGGAUCUGUUUUUUCAUUUCUUGUAAUGUAUGUAUGUAUAUAUAUAUAUAUAGAGUUUGGUCGCUUUAUCUAACAAAUAGUUUGGUUUCAGGAUCUUCCAAUCAUUUUAUGCAGAGGAGAGUGAUGCAUGAAGAUGGUUGUUUUUACCAGAAUACAAAUAGGGUAAAAAAAGUGUGAGACUCUUUUAUAGGUUCAUUUCGAAAAGAUCCCUCAACUUCGUACUUUUUGAUUGAGACUCCUUGACUUCCUAAUUCACUUAUAAUUUUAUCAAAUUUUAUGAUUUUAAUCACUUUUUAGUGAAUGAAGCUGAAAUAAUUAAUGAUUAAUCGCUAAUUUAACCACAAAUUUUACCAAGACUUUUAACUUAAAGUAACUAGAAUAAUUUAGUUCCAAAAAUUUGAAAGUUAAAGGGCUUCUCAAUCCAAAAAAGAAUAAAAAUUGAGGGGUCAUUUUAGAAUCGCCUAUAGUACGUGGAGGUUUCCAUACAUUUUUACCAUAAGAAUGAGAUAUAUCAUGUACUCGGAAUAGGUCUAUGAGUGCACCUCAUCAUCUCACGGUGGUAUUGUAUAAGGCAACUUGCGUGACUUGUUAUAACAUGGCACCUUGGGUGUCAAACAGGUAUGAACAUUAUUUUUGUUACACAUUGUGCAUGUGCUGCAGAUGGACUUCAUUGUAAUAACUUAUUCCUGUUUGCUUGUAGUUUGAAAUUGCAUGUAAUACUCCUUGCAGAAAUGCAACAUUGCAUAUAUAUCCCUUCAAUGUUUAUAUUUGUAUGUGCCAAUAGAAUAUGUAUAUAUUUGCAUCCAUGCGCCCAUAGCAUGAUGGUAUGGUUGAUGUGCAAAUAAAUACAAUUUCCAACAGCGCUACUUCCGAACUUGCAAAUACUAUGUAGACGUAUAUGCAAUUUCAACAUUUUGCAGGGUUAUAUAUGUACAAAAUACCCAACAUUAAUUUAUUGCUCUUUGAGAUCUGAAUCAACAUUAGUCCUCUUCGGUCAUGAUUUCAAAUGGAUUUCAGGGAGUUUGUUGACAUGCCAACUAUAAUUCAGGUGAAUAGUGGUAUUUGCGUUUAUUCUGUUCAAAUAUGUUAUUGAUUACAUAUUCUGUUUUAAAUAGUGGUAUUCAGGAUAUUUACAGUUUGGAAUGAUAUAAUAUCUUUUUACAAAUGGUUUCCAUGCUGCUGUAGACUCAUUGCUGUCUGUUGUAACAGUAGUCGGCACACCUAUAUACAAACCCGUUGGUAUAAACCUUUCAGCGUAGCAGCUCUAUAGAAGCAGUUUUGGCUGCUAAUACACAUCAUUAUUUUCAAAUUGAUUUGUCUUUUCCAUAAAAUAUUUGCAACUUGCUGAAAUUUAUAUCUAUGGAUUGGGAUGAAGUAGCUGGUUGCUAUCUUUAGUUGCUUUUCUGUACUUAUUUGUAUAGGAUAAGAAACUGGUUGUAUCUAUGAUAGCUUUUGUGCACUCUAUGGUAUAGGAUAAGCUAACUGCUGCUUUUUUUCAAAAUAUGAGACCAUCAAGUUAAGCUGCAGGAGAAGGCUUUGUUAUUAAAUAUAAAAAUUAUAUAAAUAUCGUUUUCUAACAGCUUAACCUUUUAGAGUACAACGGUUGUUUCACAUAGUAUCAGAGCAUGAGAUCCUGAGUUCGAGUCAUGUCAUUGCUUAGGAUACAUUUGUCUGGCGCAGAACAAUGUAUUAAAUAACAGGUUAAUUAAAAAAACGUUCCCACUUAGUUUUUAUGUUUUUCUAGAGGUGCAUAUGUUGUGAAAAUUCCACCAUUAGAGCUAGUUUAAACUAUAUCUUUCAAGUUGUGUUUUAAAGCUAGUUUAAAAUUCCCUUGCUCUGCAUUUUUCCUUAUUUUGAAGCGACUUUCUAAAGCUAGUUUUAAACUUUUGAUAGGAUUUAAUUCCCUUAUCUUUCAAAAGUGGGGAAAAAAACAGGCAGUGUAAAAUACGGUAAUCUUCGUGUAUGCCAAUUUUUGUUUACAAUAAUUAUUAUUAGGAUUUUUUAAGAUAAUACAUAAAAGUUGUAUCGUAAUUUUUUUUAAUUCUUGGGCUGGAUUAUUACAUUAGGUUUUCUUAUUGUUUUUUCUUAUAUCUGCUUGGAGUGUUUCCAGAUAUAUUCUUCAAAAUAUUUGGAUGCGUAUACUUCCAAAUCUAAAGCUUACUGCAUAAUACUUUUGGCAGUAAUAUCUCCAUUUGUUUGUCCAUACGAAAGUGCUAAGAGACUGGACAUAAAUAUCUAAGUUAAGGGCGUGUUUGGCUCGCUUCUUUUCACCCUGGAUUCGGAAUUAGAAUGGUGAAUUCGUUUGUUUGUGGGUGUUUGGUACGCGGGAGUUUCAUUUCGAUUCCGAUUUCCGCGUAGAAUGGGAAUUUUUCAAUUAUCCCUUUUUUCAAUCUGGUCUAGAAGGUUGGAUUGGAUAUUUAUUCGGAUUAAAUUUAUUUUUUUAAUUUUUUAAUUAAAAUAUGAGUUUAAAUUUAGACAUUAAAAUUUUAAUUUGAACUUGAAUUAAAAAUUAAAAUUAAAUUUAAUCAAGUAUUUCGAAUCUAAGUUAUGAAUUUGAAUUAAAAAUUAAAAUUUAAUCAAGUAUUUCGAAUCUAAGUUAUGAAUUUGAAUUUAAAUUAAAUUUUAAUUUAUAUAAAGUUUUAUUCAAAUUUUAUUUAAAACUUAAAUUAAAUUUAUGGAUUCAAAUAUAAAUUUAAAUUGUAAUUUUAGAGUUUGAAUUUGAAUAAAUGAAAAUUUAGUUUUAUAUUUCGAAUUAUUCACUAAACUUCAAAGUUUAAUUUUUUUUAAAAAAAAUAGAUACAUCAUUUCAAAAUUUUUGAUGUGAAAUUUUAAUAUUUAAUUUUUAAUUUGAAUUUAAAUUAAUAUAUUAUAAAGAUAAAGUUAAUAUAUUAAUCUGAUUACGUUUUUUAUAUUUAUUUGAACCAAACACCGAUAAUGGGAAUGAUUUAUUCCGAUUCUGAUUCAGGUGAUACAUCAAACAGAAUUAGAUAAUGAGUCAUUCCGAUUCCAAUUCUAGCUUAUUUCGAUUCUAAUUCUGAUUCCGAUUUUGACUUCGAACCAAACACGCCAUAAGAGUCUAUCUGAUGUACUAUUUGAUAGCAAGAGUCCAGUUAUGGUGCUUGUAAAAGCACUAAGCACUUGGUGUUUGUAAAUGUUUUACCGUUAGAUCUACUCCUUUGAUCAUUUUCAAUUGUUAAAUUAUACUAUUCAACCAACCACCCAUUCAAUUAUAGGGGGUUCAUAUUAUCCUAAUCUUACAUCCCUUAAUUCAAUGGUCAAAAAUUUACAAGCACCAAUAACUUAGUAUUUUUAAAAGCAUAAGAGUUGAAUUUUUUAUAGCAAAUAAUUAUUAUUUAUUAUUAACUUUUUAGUCGUUGGAAUCAUAAUAAUACUACCAUCCAGUAGUGAACCUUAAUCACUCAAGAGCUAAAAGGAUGUAAACACUUCUUUUGCUAUCAUAUAUAUUCUAGCUAAUACACGUUUAUAUGGGCUAUUUCACUAUUUAUAAAUGCAAAUGCUAACUUUUGCGGGUACUGAUGAGUAGGCUAUAUUUGUAAGUACACUUCUUUAAGCUGCGUUUGGGUAGGGAAUUAAAUUUUCAGAAAUAAUUUUUAUUAUUCUUGAGAACAGAUAGAAUAUUUCAAUAUAAAUUGGAACCAUUGUAAAUUUACAUUUCGAUGCAUUCAAUGAUGUUCUGCAGGAUAUCUUUUAUAGAAUUUGGGUAAAAUAUUUAGAACAAUGUCUAAAUAUGUUUUAAAAAUAAAUAAAUAAAUUUAUAUUAGUAUAUUUAAUUUAUUUUAUAUAAUAAUUUAUUUUAUGUAAUUUAUUCAUAAUAUAUGUAAUGAAUAAUAUCCUUAUAAUUUUAAUUAAUAAUACUGUAAAUUUCAAUACAAAUUUAAAAGAAAUAUUUAAUCUAUGAAAAAAUAAUUAUAUAUAUAGUAUAUAAUACUUUAUUUUUUUCAUUAAAUAUUAAUAUAUGAAAUAAAAAAAUUAAUAAAAUAAAUAAUAUAUCAAAUUUAAUUAAUUAUUUAUACUAUAUAAUAAGAUUUAAGUAAAAAUAUACUAUCAUAAAAGUAAUAUUUAUAUUAAUAUAUGUAUUUAUAUAUCUAUUUCUAAUAAAACAAAGAGAAAAAUAAAGUUAUUCCGGAACAAGUUGUUCCACCCAAUCUCUUCAUUGUUUGGAUACAAUCAUACAAAUUGAGGGACUUUCUCUUUUUAUUCCAGGGACAUUCUCCAAACUAAUUAAACACAGCCUUAAGUAAUACUUACAUAUGUAGUACAGUUGGUUGAGUAUAAAUGCAAUAUGCGUACAUCGAGUUUUAUGUUUUUCAAAAAUGCCCCAACUAGGCCAUUUUGAAAUAGGCUUUUGAAUUUUAUUUCUGUUAGAAAGUAGGUUUGGGUCGGAGCGGUACGGACCCUACCCGAAAAACCAAACGAUUUAUAAAUUUUUAGUUAGAAAAUAGGCUUGGAUUGGAGGGGUCGGCUCCGUACGUGCACACUAGUACCCCAUAAACCACUCAUUUAUGUGCACAUCUCCAGACGCAGUUAGAUUAGGAAUGUUGAUGGAAUCAUUUAUUAGUUUCCGGAUUCUCUCUCCUAUUCAAUUCAUUGAGUAAUGCUAUUUUUUAUUUGAGAAAGAGGUAUCAUGGUAUCUGAUUUGUUUAUUUUUUAAAAAAAAUAAACUUAACUAGAAAUACGAAUUAAUUAGAAUUCAACUUGGGAGUUGGGACCUUUGAUCUCAAUCAUCAAAUUUUUUGCCACUUGCAUUAGCAGCCGGUGAUUAAUGCUAUAUUUGAUCACACAAGUCGAUCAAACAAAAGAGAAAGGGUACUGGAAUGUAAUGUUGCUGCAUCAGCCCACGUCAGCAUUUCAUUAAUAGAGUUGAAGUUCGUGAUUAGGAAUUGCAAUAACUUGGGAAUAUUUGAAUGAUAAAUUAUAGAAAAUUGGGGACCGAAUCCCCACCUUUUCGUUUGAAUAUAUUUAGGGUGCAAUUUAACUUUGGUAUCUCACAAUUAUCUUUGCUAAUUAAUUUUCUUAUUAUUUUGUUUUUGAGUAAAUGUUAAUUUUGUUAUUGUUGGGAUAUAUGGAACACUUAAAAAUUACCUUUCAGGCAAAUUUUAUAGCUAUAUUUCAGUAUGAAAACACGAACUGAAGAAUAGGGUGAUAAACUUUUAUGUUAUUUUAAAUGGUGAAUUUGUAAGCAAAUAGAAAAUACAAAUGAUAAACUAACUUAAAAUAAGUGAUACAAGGACCCUUGUCACUGAAAUGUAUCCCAAAGAUAUUGAGGGCUAAAUCAUCUCUGUAAUACUUUGCGCACGUGGGAUAUUGAAUUUCCUAUCGUUAAUUAGAGUACUGUCUAACUAUGUUAAAAUAAUAAUAAUAAUAAUAGUAUGUUUAACUAUGCCUGACAUUGAUGGUAAAUGGACUACUAUUUUAUACAUUGGAAGAAUUCUACUGUCUUUAUACUUUCUUCUACUUGUAUUAUUUUUGAGAUAGAGCAAUGUUAUCUGGAGUCUGACUAUGGUGCUUGUAAAAACACUAAGCAUUUAGUGAUUAUAAAUUUUUUACUGUUAGAUUUAUACAUUUGAUCAUUUUAAUCCGUUAGAUUAUACUAUUCAACCAAUCACUCACUCAACCAUAUGGGACUCACAUCAUCCUAACCAUACAUCUCUUAAUCCAAAAGUCGAAAACUUACAAGCAUCAAUGACUUAGUACUUUUAAAAAUAUAGGAGCUCAAUUCAUGUUAUCUGCAACUUAUGUGUAAGA
rnacentral:lncRNA from 1 species